rnacentral:rRNA from 1 species
GACGAACGCUGGCGGCGUGCUUAACACAUGCAAGUCGAACGGAAAGGCCCUGCUUUUGUGGGGUGCUCGAGUGGCGAACGGGUGAGUAACACGUGAGUAACCUGCCCUUGACUUUGGGAUAACUUCAGGAAACUGGGGCUAAUACCGGAUAGGAGCUCCUGCUGCAUGGUGGGGGUUGGAAAGUUUCGGCGGUUGGGGAUGGACUCGCGGCUUAUCAGCUUGUUGGUGGGGUGGCUUACCAAGGCUUUGACGGGUAGCCGGCCUGAGAGGGUGACCGGCCACAUUGGGACUGAGAUACGGCCCAGACUCCUACGGGAGGCAGCAGUGGGGAAUAUUGCACAAUGGGCGGAAGCCUGAUGCAGCAACGCCGCGUGCGGGAUGACGGCCUUCGGGUGGUAAACCGCUUUCGCCUGUGACGAAGCGUGAGUGACGGUAAUGGGUAAAGAAGCACCGGCUAACUACGU